rnacentral:rRNA from 1 species
AUUGAACGCUAACGGCAUGCUUAACACAUGCAAGUCGAACGGCAGCACGGUCGUAGCAAUACGAUGGGUGGCGAGUGGCGGACGGGUGAGUAAUAUAUAGGAAUCUGCCUUGUAGUGGGGGAUAACCCGGGGAAACUCGGGCUAAUACCGCAUAAUCUUUACGAAGCAAAGUGGGGGAUCGUAAGACCUUACGCUAUAAGAUGAGCCUAUAUUGGAUUAGCUAGUUGGUGGGGUAAAGGCCUACCAAGGCAACGAUCCAUAGCUGGUCUGAGAGGAUGCUCAGCCACACUGGGACUGAAACACGGCCCAGACACCUGCGGGAGGCAGCAGUGGGGAAUAUUGGACAAUGGGCGAAAGCCUGAUCCAGCAAUGCCGUGUGUGUGAAGAAGGCCUUAGGGUUGUAAAGCACUUUUAGUGGAGAAGAAAAGCUCAUGGGUAAUAUCCAUGAGUGCUGACGUUAUCCACAGAAAAAGCACUGGCUAACUCUGUGCCAGCCGCCGCUGUAA